UCAGGAUGAACGCUGGCGGCGUAGCCUAAUACGAUGGCAAGUCGAACGGGAGUGCUUGCACUCCAGUGGCGAACGGGUGAGUAACACGUAGGUAAUCUAGCAUUAAGACGAGGAUAGCUUCUAGAAAUGGAGAUAAUACUGGAUAGGAAAUUUCCUGCAUGGGGAAAUUUUUAAAGAUUUAUCGCUUAAUGGGGAGCCUGCGGUGCAUUAGCUAGAUGGUGAGGUAACGGCUCACCAUGGCGAUGAUGCAUAGCCGGUCUGAGAGGACGAACGGCCACAUUGGGACUGAGAACGGCCCAAACUCCUACGGGAGGCAGCAGUAGGGAAUUUUCGGCAAUGGGCGGAAGCCCUGACCGAGCAACGCCGCGUGAUUGAAGAAGUAUUUCGGUAUGUAAAAAUCUUUUAUUUGGGACGAAAAAAUCAAAAUUGACGGUACCAAAUGAAUAAGCCCCGGCUAACUACGUGCCAGCCGCCGC
rnacentral:rRNA from 1 species